rnacentral:rRNA from 1 species
CAGCAGCCGCGGUAAUACGAAGGGUGCAAGCGUUACUCGGAAUUACUGGGCGUAAAGCGUGCGUAGGUGGUGGUUUAAGUCCGUUGUGAAAGCCCUGGGCUCAACCUGGGAAUUGCAGUGGAUACUGGGUCACUAGAGUGUGGUAGAGGAUAGUGGAAUUUCCGGUGUAGCAGUGAAAUGCGUAGAGAUCGGAAGGAACAUCUGUGGCGAAGGCGACUAUCUGGGCCAACACUGACGCUGAGGUGCGAAAGCGUGGGGGGCAAACAGGAUUAGAGACCCGCGUAGUCCCUGUCUCUUAUAC